rnacentral:rRNA from 1 species
AACGAACGCUGGCGGCGUGGAUAAGACAUGCAAGUCGAACGAGACUUUCAGCUGUAGCAAUACAGUUGAAAGUUUAGUGGCGAACGGGUGCGUAACACGUGGGCAAUCUGCCGAAAAGUG